rnacentral:lncRNA from 1 species
AUGCUGCUUGUGAGCUCAAUCUGGCAGAUCCUGCCCCAUUUGGAACCUGGUUGUGAGCAAGAAAACAUCUGUGGUCGGAAAGUGGGGGCAGUGAUUCAGGCCUGUUUGGGACUCGGAGAGGAUGUCCUUGAACCCUCUACUCAGGAAACAGCUCCCUCCCACAAGGAUGUGAGAGGUCAUCUGUCUGUCUACUUUGACACUUUCACCCAGUGACCUUCAGGGCUUCAGACACCUUCCCGCCUUUGCAGACAUUGUGGUCAUGAUCUGACUGCUGAGCACUUUAGAAUCUAUCAUCAAGAGCCACAACAGACCUACAAGAAUCCAUACCUACACCUGAAACUCAUGUAAGUCACCUAUCCUCAAAUAAAUAAAAUAAAAUAAAAUAAAAUAAAAUAAAA